CUCAUCCUCUUCUUUUAACAAUUUUAAGGCCUUUAAUCUCUCUCUCUAAAAUCUCUCUCAUGUUUCAGCAAUUUUAAGGCUUUGCUCUCUCUCUCUCUCUAAGCUCUAACUCUUCAGCAAUUCCAAGGUUUCUACCUAGCCUCUUUCUCUCUCUAGAAAAAAUCAUACCUAUCCUCUCUCUCUAAAUUUUUUUUAAGGCCUUUAAUCACACUCUCUAGAAAAAAUAUACCUAUCCUCUCUCUCUCUAAUUUUUUUUGAGGCCUUUAAUCACUCUCUCUCUAAAACCUCUCUCAUGUUUCAGAAAUUUAAGGUUUUGCUCUCUUCUAAGCUCUAAUGCUUCAGCAAUUUCAAGGCUUAUAUCUAGUCUCUUUCUCUCUCUAGAAAAAAUAUAUACAGUCUCUUUCUCUCUCUAAAAAUGAGGCUUUUGUUUCUCUCUAUAGGCUCUCCCAUUUAAGCAAUCUUUUCAAGUUUCAACCAUGUUAAGGUGUCUUGAUUACUCUCUCUCUCUCUCUCUUUCUCUCUCUAAAGCAUUUUGAUCUCUCUCUAGCUCGCGUGCAAACAAACACGUGCACAUACAAAAUACCAAUUUAAGGAGUUUUGAUUGAGAGUUGAAUUCAGAAGCAGGAGAGGAAGACGGAGGAGAAGCGAGGAUGCAUCUGUAUAAUGCAUGGCUUCCACCACCUGUUGCAGAGCUUUGCAGCAGAGAGAAGGAGUCGUUUUCGAGUGUUGUGAGCUCUGUGAAGGAUUCAUGGCGGCGUGAUGAUCCAGAAUCUCCUUAUGCCACUCUCAAAUUUGUUUCGAUUAUUGACGUGUUUAUAAAGGCAAAAAGUGAAAUUUCAUUAGAUGAUGUAAAGGAACUUCUAGAACUUGGGUUAGAGUUGUUUCUUGCAUCUCAAGAUAAACUAUAUGUCCAGGUUCGAUGGGGAAAUAUCUUGGUGAGGUUGUUGAAGAAGCAUGGGAAGAAUCUUUCCUUACAAGUUCAGUGGCGACCCUUCUAUGAAAUGUUGAUGCACAUUCAUUUUACAAGAAACACCGGUCCAGAGGGAUGGAGAUUAAGACAACGUCAUUUUGAGACGUUGACUAGUCUUAUACGUUCUUGUCGCAAAUUUUUCCCAUCAGGUUCUGCAGCUGAGAUAUGGUCUGAAUUUAGAGCAUUCAUGGAAAAUCCAUGGCAUAACUCAUCCUUUGAAGGGGCUGGUUUCAUCCGUCUGUUUCUGCCAACAAACUUGGAAAACCAGGAUCACUUUUCACUGCAAUGGAUAGAAGAUUGCUUGGAUUUAUGGGCUUCAAUACCAAAUUGCCAGUUUUGGGAUAUCCAGUGGGCUAAUGUGAUUGCCCGGUGUAUAAAGAAUUGUCCAACAAUUAAUUGGGAGCCUUUUCUACCAGUGCUUUUUACACAUUACCUGAAUUUGUUUGAGGUUCCUGUUGCAAAUGGAAGUGGUUACUUUCCUUUUCCGAUAGAUGUUCCGAGAAAUAUGAGGUUCUUGUUUUCUGGCAGAGUGGUUACUCCUGCUAAUGCUAUUGCCAAGUCAAUUGUCUAUCUUUUGAAGCCUGGUGGCCAAGCGCAAGAAUACUUUGAGAAAUUGGCUGAUCUCUUAGAACCAUACUACCACCCUUCCAAUGGGGGUCGCUGGACAUCGACAUUGGAACGUUUCUUGUGGUAUUUGGUUGCCAUAUUCCAAAAACGUCUUCUACAUGAGCAACAAAAUGAGCAAGAUGGAAUCAGCCUUGCUGAUCAUUUUCUUGGAAGGUCAGAACGAACUGCAUUUGUUAAAGUGGUACUGCAGUUUAUUGAUCGGGGCCAGUACAGUAAAAAUGAAUCUCUUGCUGAAACUGCCGCAGCUGCGUCUUCCAUUUUAUCAUAUGUGGAACCUACUCUGGUUCUACCAUUAAUUGCUUCUAGGUUCCACCUUGCUUUAGAGACCAUGACAGCAACACACCAACUGAAAAGUGCUGUCACAACUGUGGCCUUUGCUGGUCGUGCACUGCUCAUGGCUUCUGGUUCUUCUAUGCCAUCUCCAGCUGAUGUAUCCAGGGAUGAUACUUCUUCUGAUAUUUAUAAUGAAGUCUUGGCUGCAGCUUUAUCCAAUGCAUUGCUUGGCAUGGAUGCAAAUGAUCCGCCUAAAACACUGGCCACCAUGCAAUUGAUCGGUUCCAUAUUUUCAAGUUUAGCUAAAAUUGCUGAUAAUGAAUGUGGGGCUUCUUUUCUGCCAAAUAUUGGCUUUAGUGAAUGGCUUGACGAGUUCUUGUGUCGCCUGUUUUCUUUACUUCGGCACCUGGAACCAAGCAGUGCUUCCAAUGAGGGUAGCCAUACGUCAUCAUCUUCGGGAACUUUCCUUGUUGAAGAUGGUCCUUACUAUUUCUGUUUGCUUGAGAUACUACUUGGGAGACUCUCGAAACUUUUAUAUCAGCAGGCAUUAAAGAAAAUAUCUAAUUUUGUCAAAACCAAUAUUCUUCCUGGGGCAGUUGCAGAGAUUGGGCUUCUUUGUUGUGCAACUGUUCACUCCAACCCAGAAGAGGCUGUGGUUCAUCUUAUUGAACCGAUUUUGUUGUCUGUUAUCUCCUCUCUGAGAGGAACCCCAGUGUCUGGUUUUGGUGGAAGUGGAGCUAUGGAUCCAUCAUUUUCCAAAAAGACAACGCUUUCUCCAGCUCUGGAAACAUCUAUUGAUUAUCACUUGAAGAUAUUAUCUGUUGCCAUCAGUGAUGGGGGUCCUGUAUUACUUCGCUACACUGAUCAACUCAAAGAGGCCAUUUUAUCUGCAUUCAAUGCACCAUCUUGGAAGGUUAACAGAGCUGGUGAUCACCUUCUCCGUUCCUUGCUAGGUAGCCUAGCUCUUUAUUACCCAUUGGAUCAGUACAAGUUCUUCUCGAGUCAUUCAUCAGUUGGCAUGCUAGAGGAAUGGUUGAGCACCAAAAGUAGUCAAAUUGAAGAUCUACCUGGCCCUAAGUGGCAUGUUCCUACUGCUGAUGAAGUGAAAACUGCAAAUGAACUCUUAGAUCUGCAUUUUCGAUCUGCUUUAGAUGAUCUCUUAGCAAUUUGCCAGAAAAAGGAAUACACAGACUUAGGUUACUGCAAGGAGCGCCUGAAAGUGAUUCUAUUGCGCAUAGAGUCUUCAUUGCAAGGGGUCUUGUCAUGCUUGCCUGAUUUCCAUCCUUCCUCUAAGAAUGGAAGCUCAGGAGAUGUUGGUUAUGGGCAGUUCUUUAUUGCGGGAGCGACUGGUGCCACGGUUGGUAGUUCUGAAUUGAGAGGAAGAGCUGCAGAUGUCAUACAUCUAGCCUGCAAAUAUCUUGUGGAAGAAAGAUCUGAUGACAGCAUACUUCUGAUGCUACUAAUUCAUAUAAUGGAUGCCUUAGCAAAUUUUGGUAGUUUAGAAUAUGAUGAGUGGUCAAAUCACCGGCAGGCUUGGAAACUAGACUCAUCUGCAAUAACGGAGCCCCCAUCGAAUUUCAUUGUUUUUUCUAAUGCACCAGGAAAACGAAGACCUAGGUGGGCAGUUGUUGAUAAGUCUUAUAUGCAUAACACGUGGCGAUCAUCACAAUCAUCAUAUCAUUGUUUCCGUGUUAAUGGGAACAUUUCUCCUUCGGACCAUGUAGUUCUUCUGAUGGAGGAUCUUCUGAGUCUCUCUUUGCAUAACUACGAGGCAGUUCGUUCGCUUGCGGGGAAGUCUCUUCUGAAGAUACUUAGACGUUUCCCAACUUUGAUUUCAAAAUGCAUUCCCACACUCACAGAUGGUUUAUGCGAUCCAAACAAAGCAGAACAUGUCGUGUUAGGUUCAUGUUCCAUUCUUGGAACGAGAACAAUUCUCAGGCACACAACCUUGGAUUCAAAGGCUUUCUCUUCAUUUCUCCUGGGGAUUCUAGCCAGCUCCCAUCACGAAUCUUUGAAAGCCCAGAAGGCUAUUAAUGAGCUUUUUAUCAAAUACAACAUCCAAUUUGCUGGUGUAUCAAAGAACAUAUUGAGGACACUUGAAGAGCCAUCAGAUGGAUCAGGCUUUGCACAAUUGGUUGCUCAAAUCUCUUCUAUGAGCUUGAAUACUGACAGCAUGCAUUGGCGGUACAAUUUGAUGGCUAACAGAGUGCUGCUAUUAUUAACCAUGACUCUUAGAAGUGGCUCUGAUAUAUCGUCGAAAAUCAUGGCAGAAACUGCAGGACACUUUCUGAAGAACCUAAAGAGUCCACUUCCUCCAUCAAGGAUGCUCGCAAUUUCAGCUCUAAACAUUUUACUGAGAGGAUCCUCAUACAAGCUCUCAGACCUGGAACAUGAAUCCUCAGUCCUUUCAGAGGGAACCCUUAGAACUCCUAUCGAAGGAGCUCUGAUCCCUGUCUUUACAGAGGAUGGGUUUUUUAAUGAUGCAAUGAACUGCCUCUCUCAUGACCAUAUUAUAGCAGAUAAUGAAAAUGCAUCUUCCCGAGGAAACCAUAGAACAUACCAAGGUGCUGCAGAUUCCUCAAUCACACGAUUUUAUUUUGAAUUUGCCGCUUCAUGGCCACGCACACCAAGUUGGAUUUCAUUUUUGGGUGGAAAUGCCUUUUAUUCAAGCUUUGCGAGGAUCUUUAAACGCUUAGUCCAAGAAUGUGGAAUAACAGUUGUAGAGGCCAUUCAUGAUGCACUGGAGGACUUAUCAAGUGCUAAGGAAAGGACAAAGCAAUGUGUUGCUUCUGAAGCUUUGGCUGGAGUUUUACACUCAGAUGUCCUUGGUCUUACCCAAGCCUGGGACUCUUGGAUAUCGAAUUUACUAAGAAAGAUUAUUCUUCAGCCUAGCGUCGAUUCUAUGCCUGAGUGGGCAGCUUGUGUACGUUAUGCAGUUACAGGAAAAGGGAGCCAAGGAAAGAGAGUUCCUCUUUUGAGACAAAAAAUUUUCGAGUGUUUGGUGGAGCCUUUACCAUUGACUGUAGCAACUACUGUAGUUUUGAAGAGGUAUGCUCUUCUUGGUGCUGCUCUGCUUGAAGUCUUUGCACCAAAGAUGCCUGCUGGGGAAGUCAAAUUUCAUGAAUGCUUACUGCAAGAGUUUCUGGGUUGCAUGAGUCAUUCAUCUGCUCAAGUGAGGGAAGCUAUUGGUGUUACCCUUUCAAUUGUAUGCUCUAAUAUGCAACUCUUUACCUCCUUUGAGCCAAACCAUCCAUCUGAAAUGAUAGAAGAUUCCAUGGAUUUCCCAUAUGGAAUGGUCAAGUGGAAGGAGAAUUUCAUUACACAAGCUGCCAAAGUGGCUAUCAAUAUUCAAAAUGCCAAUCAGUCUGGUGUUACAGAAUAUACUGUGGCAUCUACGAGUGAAAAUGGCUCCCAAAAUGAGGAGCUACUAGAAGAUGUGAAAUGGAUGGAAACGGUUUUCUAUUUCACUGUCUCAUCUUUGAAGUCCGGAAGAUCUUCAGUUUUACUUGAUGUAAUUACUGGUCUUCUUUCCCCUGUACUAUCCUUGCAGGAUACUAUACACAAGGAUCUAUCAAAUCUCGCGAAGGCAUGCUUUGAGUUAUUAAAAUGGAGUAUAUUUCCGCAACCUCAUCUGCAGAAGGCUGUUGCACUGCUUAUUUGUUCAGCUAAUGAUCUUAAUUGGCGUAUAAGAUUUGCAACUCUCUCCUAUCUGCAAUCUUUCAUGUACAGGCAUGCUUUCAUUCUUCCAAAUGUGGAAAAACUACAAAUUUGGAAGAAAAUUGAAGAACUUUUAACUGACAACCAGGUUGAGGUGAGAGAACAUGCAACAACAGUUCUCGCAGUCUUGAUGAAAGGCGGUGACCAUGAUUUAGCCAAGGAUUUCCGUGAUAAAGCAUAUGCCGAUGCACUCUCCCUUUUCAAGAAACGAAAUUCAAGAAACUCCAACUCUAGUGGGUCCCUAGCUUCUACUCAUGGUAAAGUUUUGGCUUUGGCAGCAUCAGUGCUAUCAGUUCCUUACGAAAUACCCAGCUGGCUUCCUGAUACGAUCACUUUGCUUGCUCGCUUUGUCGGUGAACCGUCACCCGUAAAAUCCACAGUAACAAAAACCAUUGCUGAGUUCCGAAGAACCCAUGCCGAUACUUGGAGCAUUCAAAAGGAUUGCUUCACAGAAGACCAAUUGGAGGUCCUCACUGAUUCAUCCUCUUCAUCUUCAUACUUUGCGUAGUUAUAGCCUUCCACCAAGGCCCGAUGAUAACUUUUAAGGCAUUGAAUACAUGAUAGAAUUCCAUCUGGAAUAUUACAAUACCAAGAGAAUGGAAUGUGGGGUAUGACUGGUCCUUCAGGUGACGCUUUCUCAUAUCAGGUUCUUGGGCAUGAAUCCUGACUUGGCACUAAAUAAGCCAAACACAAAGGAAGACUCCAUGGUCCACACAUAAUAUAAAUGUUGCAAUUUAUUGUAGAAAUGAGUUAUCAUAUACACAGUGCCUUAUCCAGUGCAAAAUAUUAAAUGCUGUAAGUUUUUGUAGAAAUGAUUUAUUCUGUGUGUGUGUGUU